CCUACGGGUGGCAGCAGUGGGGGAUAUUGCGCAAUGGGGGCAACCCUGACGCAGCGACGCCGCGUGAGUGAAGAAGCGCUUCGGCUCGUAAAGCUCUGUCGGCCGGGACGAUAAUGACGGUAGCUGCUGAAGAAGCACCGGCAAACUGCGUGCCAGCAGCCGCGGUAAUACGAAGGGUGCAAGCGUUAUUCGGAUUUACUGGGCGUAAAGGGGGUGUAGGCGGAUAUGUAAGCUAGCGGUGAAAGGCCGGGGCUCAACCCCGGAACUGCUAUUAUGACUAUGUGUCUAGAGUGAUGGAGAGGAUAGCGGAAUACCCGGUGUAGAGGUGAAAUGCGUAGAUAUUGGGUAGAACACCGGUGGCGAAGGCGGCCAGCUGGCCAUUAACUGACGCUGAGGCCCGAAAGCAUGGGGAGCAAACAGGAUUAGAUACCCCUGUAGUC
rnacentral:rRNA from 1 species